rnacentral:misc_RNA from 1 species
AGCUGCCAUCCAUUUCUCAACUUUAUCCAAUAUUUCUUUCCUGCUUUCAGCCUCCUCUUUUGCUUUUACGAUCUGGUUAUCCAUGUCCGCAAGUAACUCCGCAGGCUGAAUAUUCCCAGAAUCAAUAAGUGCCAUAAUUUUGUGUUGAGAAGCCUCAGAGUCAAUCUCUAUGUGGGAACAAACGAAAAUCUCUUCAAGCACUGCCUGCUUUUUGAAAGCAAUCUCCUUCAUCCUGCUAGCUUUUAGCUGAUCAAGUCUUUCAACUUCAACUUCAGCCUGUUCAAUCAGAUCAAGAGCAAGAGCUCCAGGAAUGGACACUUCAUCAACUGAAGCCGAUUUAUUGCAGGUGACAUGGUCAAACAAGCUCUGUUCUUCUUCGGUUGUAUCCAUCAAAUUCCAUAAAUCA